UUUUUUAAUCUUUAAAGGAAGAUGAACGCAAAAUAAUUUUGUAAUUACUUUUUGAUCAUUGUGGUCGUAAAACAGUAAAAGAAAUUCUGAGAUGCUGCAGUCUUCAGUUCAAGUAGCAGAGAAUGGCGCAUGUUCAAAUGCUGCCAAGGACUCUUCUUAUUUUUCUUCAGAGUACGAUGAUGUCAACCGUUCCAAUCCCAAUACAGGAAGUGCUAAGCCCUCUGAAGGGAAUGAGAAUAUAUCUGCUCAAAUCGUGGAAUGCUCAUUUGGAAAGAAAAUCUUAGAUUAGUACGUUAAACAUAGAUCGCCACGAACAACAUUUGAGGACUUACUUUCGAUUUUGCAAGAAGAAAAUUUGGACGUUUCGAGAUGUUCGGAAACACUUUUUGCCAACAAACGGCAAAGGAAUUCUUCAGUUGAAUGAAAAAGUGGUGCAUGAAAAGGUGUUAGAAUAUAAUUGACAAUAAGGAGCCUACUUUGGCAUUCUAUCAACAAAAAUUUUAAAAACGUGUUUAGCACCGAUGAAAUAUCGGAGUACAAUAUAGACAGGACCCACGGAAAACGAGCCUCAAGGAAGUUACAAGUUUAUCUGCGGUUUGUUAGGGUA